rnacentral:tRNA from 1 species
GCCGGAGUGGUGAAACUGGUAGACACGCUGUGUUCAGGGCGCAGUGUUCGCAAGAUCGUGUGAGUUCGAAUCUCACCUCCGGCA